rnacentral:rRNA from 1 species
CCUACGGGAGGCAGCAGUGAGGAAUAUUGGUCAAUGGACGCAAGUCUGAACCAGCCAUGCCGCGUGCAGGAAGACGGCUCUAUGAGUUGUAAACUGCUUUUGUACGAGGGUAAACGCAGAUACGCGUAUCUGUCUGAAAGUAUCGUACGUAUACGGAACGGCGAACUCAGUGCCAGCAGCCGCGGUAAUACGGAGGAUUCAAGCGUUAUCCGGAUUUAUUGGGUUUAAAGGGUGCGUAGGCGGUCGGAUAAGUUAGAGGUGAAAUCCCGGGGCUCAACUUCGGAAUUGCCUCGGAUACUGGUCGACUAGAGAGUAGAUGAGGUAGGCGGAAUGUCUGGUGUAGCGGUGAAAUGCGUAGAGAUCAGACAGAACACCGAUUGCGAAGGCAGCUUAC